rnacentral:snRNA from 1 species
AGGACAAUUUUGCCUGAGAUGUC